AAUCAACGCUGGCGGCGUGCCUCAGACAUGCAAGUCGAACGAUUAAAGCUCUCUUCGGAGAGUGCAUAGAGUGGCGCACGGGUGAGUAACACGUAAGUAAUCUACCUUCGAGUGGGGAAUAACAGUCGGAAACGACUGCUAAUACCGCAUAAUGCAGCGGCAUCGCAAGAUGACAGUUGUUAAAGGAGCAAUUCGCUUGAAGAGGAGCUUGCGGCAGAUUAGCUUGUUGGUAAGGUAACGGCUUACCAAGGCUACGAUCUGUAACCGGUCUAAGAGGACGGUCGGUCACACUGACACUGAAUAACGGGUCAGACUCCUACGGAGGCAGCAGUCGGGAAUUUUGGGUCGAAUGGGCGAAAGACCUGACCCAGCAACGCCGCGUGAAGGAUGAAGUAUUUCGGUAUGUAAACUUCGAAAGAAUGGGAAGAAUCAAUGACGGUACCAUUUAUAAGGUCCGG
rnacentral:rRNA from 1 species